rnacentral:lncRNA from 1 species
UUAUGGAAAAAAGACGAAGAGUUGCCCUUAAACUGAGUACAAAAACAUACUGUAAAUGAAAAAGUUGCCAAUAUGGUUUUCGUCAAUUAUUCUAUAUUCUAUGAUUAUUAUUUUGAAUGUAUAUGCAUUUCAUUAUUUUCUAUAUAUCACCCUAAUAUAACUUGAACAGGCUUUCAAAAUGUUACCCUAAUCUAAAAGUGUUUCGUUUUGUAUUUGACCUAUUCAUAUUAACAUGUG